rnacentral:rRNA from 1 species
AUAUCAAUAAGCGGAGGAAAAGAAACUAACCAGGAUUCCCCUAGUAACGGCGAGUGAAGCGGGAAAAGCUCAAUUUUAAAAUCUCACAGGUUCCCUGUGCGAAUUGUAGUUUCAAGAAAUGUUUUUUGGGGACAACCUGGGUUCAAGUCCGUUGGAACGCGGCGCCAUAGAGGGUGAGAGCCCCGUUGAAUCCGGUGUUUUGUUCCUGUACAAUACAUUUUCAAAGAGUCGGAUAGUUUGGGAAUGCUGUCCAAAAUGGGUGGUAAAUACCAUCUAAAGCUAAAUAUUGGCGAGAGACCGAUAGCGCACAAGUA